AGGGAAGUCUGACGGAGCACGCCGCGUGAGUGAUGAAGGUUUUCGGAUCGUAAAGCUCUGUUGUUAGGGAAGAACAAGUACCGUUCGAAUAGGGCGGUACCUUGACGGUACCUAACCAGAAAGCCACGGCUAACUACGUGCCAGCAGCCGCGGUAAUACGUAGGUGGCAAGCGUUGUCCGGAAUUAUUGGGCGUAAAGGGCUCGCAGGCGGUUUCUUAAGUCUGAUGUGAAAGCCCCCGGCUCAACCGGGGAGGGUCAUUGGAAACUGGGGAACUUGAGUGCAGAAGAGGAGAGUGGAAUUCCACGUGUAGCGGUGAAAUGCGUAGAGAUGUGGAGGAACACCAGUGGCGAAGGCGACUCUCUGGUCUGUAACUGACGCUGAGGAGCGAAAGCGUGGGGAGCGAACAGGAUUAGAUACCCUGGUAGUCCACGCCGUAAACGAUUAGUGCUAAGUGUUAGGGGGUUUCCGCCCCUUAUUGCUGCAUCUGACGAAAUAACCACU
rnacentral:rRNA from 1 species